CACAUGCCACGAUUAACUUUGUCACAAGUUGGGGAUGGUUCUAGGCGUUUUCUGUAAUCUGUCAGAAAGUGGAGGAAGAGCAGAUCUGAAGGAGACACGUGAUUGUGUGCCAGCCUUGAACACACUGACUUGAGAAAAGGAUGAAGCCUCGCUCAGACUCACGAGCUCUAGACAAAAGCAGUGAUGUGCUGGUCCUGCAAGUUGCAGCUUGCGUGGGCAGGUGAAUGAAGUCGCUACCCCUGGUGGAGAACCGAAGCUUGCUUCUUCCCACGCCCAUUCCUGAAUAUCGAGAAAGAAACCUACCCAGAAGCUGGAAGGAAUCCAGAAGACAAACCCACGGCUCCUCCCUAGAGAGAGCCACAGCCAUGCAGGAUCCGAACUGCGUCU